UCGGUUUCAUACAAAUUUCAUACAAAUGUCGACGCGGAUGUAAGAACAUUGCGUAGUUUAUAUGAGUAGGUACUUUUAUUUACAGCAAUGAAAAACCAGUAAUGUAUGCCGAUCCAGCCAAGUUUUUGACGAACUGGUCCACGAUAGUGUGGAGCCAGCAUUAAAUACAAAUUUGAUAUUUCCAUUGAUAAUUAUUAAAAUUAAUAUUUAAACGUUCAAUAAAAAAGUAACAGAAAACAUAACGAUAUUUUCGCGUUUUUCAUUUGUUUGUCGUUUUUUUUAUUUAUUUCUAAGUGGCCAGCAUUUUAAGAAAAGAAAAAUUAAAUGUAAAUGCAUGAAAAUAUAUUUUUACAGAACCGAAAUCGUUUUAUAGAAAGUAACUCCAUAUUAAAAGUCUGGAGAGAUUUUUUUAUGUCAAAAUCAAAUAAUGCAAAGUCAACAAAGCCACAUCGCCAAUGAAUCUGAAAUAAAUAGAUAAUUAACAAAUACUCCAAGGUUAUUUGUUUUAUGUAUAAUCAAUAAAACUACGAAACACGUAACGUACUUAAUAUGAGAUUUUCCAUUUGUUCGAAUUAUUACGAAUUUAGCUAAUAGCAGACGCUGGGCUGCCGAUGCUUAUGGCUAAGGAAAAACGUGUUCGGAUUUGAAAGAGAAAUUCUAAUUAUCCUACAACUAUCAUCAUCUAAUUAAUUCUAAAACGAAGACUCCACUAAAAUCUAGGAAUAUUAUGUAGGACGAACAUUUUAACUUACUACUGCCAGCGCCAAGUCUCACGUGAGUUUAAUAUCUUUUGUGUGGGAAUCGCGUUUAUAACAAUGAAGAGUACCCUUGACAGAGACCAGAAUUGCAUUGACAUGUUCACACUCGCCUAGGUCAACAAUAGUUUGCAGUGUAUUUUGAUGAAGAAUAACCUAUUAAUUAAUGUUAAGAUGAGACGAAAGUCCUCCGGUCAUUUGUGAUAUACCAGCCUUAAUCGACCCAUCUUAAAAUAUUGAAAUUCAAAUUCAAAAUUCAAAUCAUUUAUUCAGAAAUUAGACCUUCACAGGCACUUUUUCUCGUCAAUUUUUAUAUUCAUAGUUAUUUCUCACAAGCUACAAACUAAUGGCAUUUCGGAACGACCACUGCUGAGAAGAAAUGCCGAAAGAAACUAAUUUGAACAGUGUUGGUCCCUAUCUUGCCAGAUCGGCUUACCAUUAUUGUUUCUUACGAUGUUUUUUUUUUCUAAUAAUAUAUAAAAGUACAUAAUGUACAUAAUCAAAAGGUAUAACAAAACAGGUUAUGAUUGUGAUCCGAGUGCUGAUUAUUGUUGUGUUAUGUGUAUCUUGUGCUCAACUGUUUGCAUUGCUAGUUAGCUAAAGCUGUGUCCCUUGAUCGCCUCAUACGAUAACCAGGGGAGGAUAUGGAGUGGUCAUAUUUUAGGGCUCACUCUGUAUUUUGGGCGUGGUACAAACAGGAAUAGGUAAUUUCAUGGGAUACGUAAAAAUUGUGGAAAAUUCAGAUGAGGUUCGAGACGCUCGAACACUAACAAAUAUAACGUGAUGUGUAUAUAUAAAGCGAAAUAAAUAAAUAUUAAAUCUGAGCGUUUUCAUCAGAGCCAGAAUCCAGGGCCCACUUUCCUACUUUUGAGAGUCUUUGGCAUUCUGAGUAGACCAAGUAGAUAUUAUUAUUAAAUUUUCUGAUGUAUUGACAGCUUUCUGCUCAAAGAUUAUAAAUAUAAAGGAGUGGCAACGUCAAUUUGCUGAAGCAGUGAAGAAUCGUUCACUGCACGUCUCUCUAAUUACCUGGCUGGGCUCCAAAACCAAUCAGUUCUAUUGAUACGAAUGCAUUUUCAAAGUUGGGAGUGUUCUUAUCGAGUGUGGUAUUGCUAACAAUGUCUCAGAUUUUAUUCUCUGACACUAUUUUACGAAAAUCGCUAACUAUUGGCAAACAGCUGUAAAAUUUAUCAGUGUACACUGUACAGGUUUUCUCACGAUCACGAUAUUUUCCUUUACCGGUAAAAUGGUAGACUUUAUAAGUCAUACAUAACUAGUAUUAGCAUAAUUAUUCCUAAAAAUUGUAGGAAACUUUAGUUGUCUUCUAUGGAUAAAAAGCAUAGUCGGUUAAAAAAAUAUAAAAAUAGAUAGUUAAUGCAGAAUCAGCUAUUGUUUUCAAAUGUGAUAAACAAACCAUAGAUUCGCACAUUUUACGAUCAAAGUUGCAGCGAAACGUACACACGUUAGAGAAGAGCGCCCGUUAUACACACACGAAUAUAGAGAACCUUGACACGGCCGCUCCAGAUAUUGAUGGGAUCGGGAACGCUUUAUGUGCGCUUGUAAAUGGGAAUGGCUGGUUUACUAGAACCAUUAGUUUCUCAUGAAAUACGUAUUCUGGUCUAACUAGCAGUUAUAUCGCCACAGAUUUAUAUAUAAUAUAUAGGUUAUUGCAAUAAAUACAUUCAAGAAGAUAUUAAUAAAGUAUUCCGAAAACUACUUAAAGUAGUUUUCUACUUCCAAAGUGCAUCCUGGGGGAAAGUGGAUCAUGUUCCAUUGAGGAACCAGGAAAGCACUUAGAAAUAGUCAUAUCAUAAGUCAAAAUCACCGUUCACAGACUCCAGAGUCUGAUGCGUUGCUGACUUUUUAAGAGGUCGAUAUAGGCCUUUUCUUGAAGAUCCUAAUGUAGAAAUUUUCGCUUAGGGUUUUAUGGCAUCAUUCUCGUGAUCUCGCGAUGAGAAAUAUCGAUGUCGUCGAGAAUGUGAUGCAUCUGCUCCGAUUAUAUCCAUUCAAAUAAAGAAGUUGUAUAUAUUGUGCUUUGGGGAGACAAAAAUGGCUGUGAAAACUCAACUAGAUGUAGAAUAAACUGCAGUCAACGACAAUUUUGACGUAAUAGAAGUUGUAAACAAUUUGAAAUUCCGUUUUAAGAAAUUUGUUGAGCAUAAAACAAAAAGCAACACCUAUUGCUUUGGACGUAACAGCUUUUAUUAUACUGUGAGAUGAAAGUUAAAUCUUGGCAAGGAUUAUACUAUAACUUGGCUACUGAUAUGCUAUUAAAUACUAAUUGAUCGUUGAGUGACUCGGUUUCUAGUCGGUAACAACAUUUUUCAUUAGAAGUACACAUCAGCCUACGCGUCAGAGGUCUCGAAAUAAUAUGAUACAAGUAAUUUUUUUUUGUUCUAAUUUAUGUAGUAUUUCAUAAUUUACAAACUGUGGUACAUUAAGUAUUAACAAUAACUAUAUUGACAGCGAAUUCGAUUGUCGUAAAAUAUGCAAUUAGUUAUACUAUUAAAGUAGAAACAAGAAGGUAAAUAUCUCAAUAAUAAACAUAAAAACUAUCUUGCAAUUUCGGCACACGUGUAAAAAAAUAGGUCAAGGUCAUUAUGCGUCCCAAGACAUCCCCACAAACAGCCACCCGAACCUCGCAAACUGUAUAACAAGAAAUAUAGCAUUGCUGAAACCCAACCACCCACGCCGGUCGCCUCAAAAUAAACCAGACAUGUUUCUUGUAACACUACACCAACGUAACAUUGAAAUGGGGGGAAAAUCGUGAUAUUUUCGCCAGCCCCAAUCUAAUUAUAAGUGUUAUAGUAUAUACUUUCACGAUACCUGGAUGUUGGAGGUUUAGGAUGGUAGUGGUCACGAAUGCACACAAACACAGACACACACUUCACUCGGACAAGUGGUCGAAGGUCGUAUGUUUCGCUGGAGGAGCGAGACGAUCCCGAUCGCGGUCUCCCAACGACUGGUCUUCGACUAUCCCUGUGCCGGCCAUCGGUAAAUAUAGCUCGGGAGGAUUUAAGCCAUUUCUCUAUGACGUCGGAGCCACGGUCAGAUGGCAAGGUCGCCGGGAGUCCUGAUUGUUGACGUUGUACCGAAUGGAAAGGGCAGGGAGGCUUCCGAAUGGUAAUCUUGGAGGUCAAAUUCGGAGCGUUUAUUCAGAAAUAAGCACUUCGCGCGCACUGUUUCGUGUCAAAUUUUAAAAUACAGAAUUUAUCAAAGCUAAAUAUCCAACUAAAUGUUUUAGAAGGACCGAUAACAUAGAAGAAACGCCAAACGAAACUCAUAUAAACAUUGUUAAUCCUAAAAGGGCUUGCCAUUUUUGUUUUUAAAUUGUCUUCUCUUCCUUAAUUGUAACAUAAAAAUUGCAAACACAUUUUAUGAAAUGAUGAAAUUAUAUUUUUAUUUCAAGUAACCAUGAGACUCAUGUAUAGUUAGCACCUACGUCUACUCUCACUAGUUACUACACGUACGUAUUGCGAUCGAAUGCUAAUUGUUAAAUUGUGAAUGGGUACCCUUUAAAUGUUAUAUUUACUGAAUCAAAUAAAUAUAAUAUAGAAUAAAUAAUAUAAUAAAUAUAGAAUAAAGCACACCAUUCGGUGUGCUUUAUUUUAUAUUCUGUUUUGGCAACACUGUCUUCCGUUCUCUUCGCCCAAUGGCGGUUCGUACCAUUAAAACGUCUUUCCCUUUAUAUAAUUAAUUUCCAUUGAUUUUUAAUAGUGUGUCAAACGAUGCGUUAUGUACGCAAGUAUAAUAUAAUUUAUAUUUGUCAUGUGUGUUUAAUACUACAAUAAAUACCAUGCAAUAUACGCAUUGCUUUUCAAUGUAAGUACAACCCGGCCACCACACCACACUCAGCACAUGUUCUGAUUCCUUAAAACUAGGCAUCCACUUGCAUUCAGCAUAAAUAAACUCUGCCGAACAAAUUACUUCAACACUAAUGAAUAAAAAAGAUAUAAAACACCAUUAACCAAGUAAAAUAAAAAUCGAGCUAACCAGUUCCGGCAUUCUCCAUGCAGGAGUUGACAUCCACGAGAGGAUAUGGUAUGGAAUGGUCCAACUCUACGGCCGGGAAACACGACGCAAAAGCAGGUAAUAAAAAUAUGUAAAGUAAAAUGUUAGUUGUUUUGUAUUACAGCGCAGGAAGUUAGCGAAGUAUUUCUGGAAUUGAGUCAAGAGCGACGCCGCAUUACGGUCCUAAUGCGUAGGACACCGCUGUUACACCUUCAGGUACUGAAUGGCGCUAAACGUUGUAUUUUGGCAUGUUGUAUCGGAGAAGGCAGCCAAUGAAAGGUGCUUCUAAAGCGGAGGUAAAUGGCAGAAUAGGUCAAGGUCGACCUCUACGUACAAUACCAUGACCAGGUCUCCAUAAAAAGGGAAAUAUCAGGAGCGCCCAUAGUCGGCGAGCAUGUAUGAAGAGAGUUGAGAAUAGAGAAAGCAAGCCAGAUUUGUUAUGCCGGCUUUACACUAUUGAACAUUUCACUAAAGUUUGUCAAAUUCGGCAUUACACUGCUGGAUUUUCCAUGACGUAAAUACACACUCUCAUACAAACUA